GACGAACGCUGGCGGCGUGCUUAACACAUGCAAGUCGAACGGAAAGGCCCUGCUUUUGUGGGGUGCUCGAGUGGCGAACGGGUGAGUAACACGUGAGUAACCUGCCCUUGACUUUGGGAUAACUUCAGGAAACUGGGGCUAAUGCCGGAUAGGAGCUCCUGCUGCAUGGUGGGGGUUGGAAAGUUUCGGCGGUUGGGGAUGGACUCGCGGCUUAUCAGCUUGUUGGUGGGGUAGUGGCUUACCAAGGCUUUGACGGGUAGCCGGCCUGAGAGGGUGACCGGCCACAUUGGGACUGAGAUACGGCCCAGACUCCUACGGGAGGAAGCAGUGGGGAAUAUUGCACAAUGGGCGGAAGCCUGAUGCAGCAACGCCGCGUGCGGGAUGACGGCCUUCGGGUUGUAAACCGCUUUCGCCUGUGACGAAGCGUGAGUGACGGUAAUGGGUAAAGAAGCACCGGCUAACUACGUG
rnacentral:rRNA from 1 species